rnacentral:miRNA from 1 species
UCCUGAUUAACUCUGCACCAUGCAUUUGGACAUUGCUUUACAUCUUUAAAAUCAAUGUCCAAAUGCAUGGUGCAGAGUUAGUCAGGA